UAUAUAUACAUACAUACAUACAUACAUACAUACAUACAUACAUACAUACAUACAUACAUACAUACAUACAUACAUACAUACAUACAUACAUACAUACAUACAUACAUAAUACAUACAUAAAAAAAAGGCUGCCACUCUAAGGACGCUUUGUUAGUGACAGACAGACACCGACUAACUCAAGAAGGCGGAGAUCGCUAGCUGCUUGUACUAGUUCCUUGCACAAAACUCACCCAACGCAGUAUUCUGAAAAUUUAAGCUCUGAAGGUUUUCCUCACCCAAAAACUUUUAAAAAGUUAUAGUAGUUUGCUUAGAAAGAAUGCAAAAGUUAUAUCGUGAUGUUCUUAAACGUUCCUCUCAGCCAUGGUACCAACGCUCGUUUUCUGUGAAGGCUUAACUUUCUGCUAUGGUCUGGGUACUUACAUGCCAGGUGUACUGGUGUGUAUAUACUUAUAUUCCAGGUUUACUGGUGUGUAUUUAAUUAUAUACCGGGUUUACUGGUGUGUAUUUACUUACAUGCCACGUGUGCUGGUAUAUAUUUACUUAUAUACCUGGUGUGCUGGCGUGUAUUUACUUACAUGCCAGGUGUGCUGGCGUGUAUUUACUUACAUGCCAGGUGUAUUAGCGUGUAUUUACUUACAUGCCAGGUAUACUGGAGUGUAUUUACUUAGAUGCAAGGUGUACUGGGGUGUAUUUACUUACAUGACAGGUGUACUGGUGUGUAUUUACUUAUACGCCAGGUGUACUGGCGUGUAUUUACUUAAGUCAGGUGUAUUGGUACAUAUUUACUUACGUACCAGGUUUACUGGUGUGUAUAUACUUUCAUGCCAAGUGAACUGAUGUGUAUUUACUUAUAUGCCAGGUGUACUGGUGUGUAUUUACCUAGAUGCCAGGUGUACUGGUGUGUAUUUAGUUACAUGCCAGGUGUACUGGGUGUGUAUUUACUUACAUGUCAGGUGUACUGGGUGUGUAUUUACUUACAUGUCAGGUGUACUGGUGUGUGCUUACUUACGUGUCAGGAGGUACUGGUUUGUAUAUACUUAGAUACCAGGUGUACUGGAGUGUGUAUACUUACAUGCCAGGUGUACUGACGUGUAUUUGCUUACAUGCUAGGUGUACUGGCGUGUAUUUACUUACAUGUCAGGUGUACUGGAGUGUAUUUACUUAUACACGAGAUAUACUGGUGUGUAUUUACUUAUACGCCAGGUGUACUGGAGUGUAUUUACUUAUAUGCCAGGUGUACCGGAGUGUAUUUACUUACCUGCCAGGUGUACUGGAGUGUAUUUACUUACAUGCUAAGUGUACUGGUGUGUAUUUACUUACAUUACAGGUGUUCUGGUGUGCAUUAACUUACAUGCCUUGUGUACUGGAGUGUAUUUACGUACAUGUUAAGUACCGUAGUGCGUGUCAUCCUACACAAAAGUGUCCCCUGGAGUGUACCUCACCACACUGACUAAAGUGAAAGUAAGCACAUUCGCACCUAUACUCGCGUACCUGUACAUUAGCCUUUAGUAACCUACGUAUACUGUGUAUGACAUAUGCGUCUACUCUUAUAUCACGUCUAUGUAUGUUGUAUACUAAUGUCUAGUUACAUACCAUUAUACACUUGUAUGUUAUUACCCGCAUAAGUUAUACUGAUGCGUGGAUACAUGCAUACAUAGUAUAUGGAUGUGUGGAUCAAUACUAUGCAUAUAUGCCACUACAGUGGCAUAUAUGCAUAAUGUUGCCUCAGUUACACGCAGAUACAUGCAUACACAGUAUAUUGAUGUGUGGAUACAUGCAUAUACAGUAUAUUGAUGUGUGGAUACAUGCAUAUACAGUAUGUUGAUGUGCGGUUACAUGCAUAUACAGUAUAUUGAUGUAUGGAUGCAUGCAUAUAAAGUAUAUUGAAGUGCGAAUACAUGCAUAUACAGUAUAUUGAUGUAUGGAUACAUGCAUAUACAGUAUAUUGAUGUGUAUACAUGUAUAUACAGUAUAUUGAUGUGCGGAUGCAUGCAUAUACAGUAUAUUGAUGUAUGGAUACAUGCAUAUACGGUAUAUUGAUGUGUGGAUACAUGCAUAUGCAGUAUACUGAUGAGCGGAUACAUGCAUAUACAGUAUACUGAUGUUCGGUUGCUUACCGGCUAAGUAUGCUGAAAUGUAGUUACAAAGAUGUGUUAAUGUGCUAUCACAAGUAUGUUUAUGUGUGGUAUACUUACUGCCCGCCAGUAUAGCAAUAUACUCACAUGCUCAUGAUGUAUACUGCUAUGUAGUUGCACAUGUAAUGUAUUAGAUAUACUGUAUACAGUGUGGUAUGAUGGAUAUUGGUAUACUGUGGGGCCGUUUUGUGGUGGCAGAGUAACGCAGUUUUUGGUGGUGCGUAGAAGAGAGUGCGUACGGCGCGCUCUGUUGUCAGCAGCACUUCUCAUUCACUAUUUCGGUUGGUACAAAACACACGUGGUCAGCUGUUGCAGUGUUAUUAACACAUCCAAUAUGCUGCGGUGAGCUGCCUCCACACUCACCCCUACCCAUCUGAUUGAGGUGGUCGCUGGACCUGUUGUCCCCUCAUGUGACGUCCCAUGGCACCAUGUAACGCCCCAUGGCACCACGUGAGGCCCCGUGGCAUCACGUGACGCCCCGAGGCACCACGUGACGCCCCAUGGCACCACGUGAGGCCCCAUGGCACCACGUGACGUCCCAUGGCAUCAUGUGAGGCCCCGUGGCACCACGUGAUGCAACAUGGCGCCACGUGACGCCCCAUGGCACCACGUGAGGCCCCGUGACAUCACGUGACGCCUCGAGGCACCACGUGACUGCCCGUGGCUAUACAUCAGUGUCCUGAGACAGGUAGAGGGCGCCGGGCGUCGCAUACACCAGUAGAUUCCCGUGUAUCGAGUCAUAGCAUUGUAUGUUGUAUUACUGCUGUAUUGCCGCUGUAUUUCUGAUAGUACAACAGCACACCACUUUUCAAAAUUAUUUGAUGGAAAAUGUAAUAAAUUCUAAUGUAUUUUCUUGCCUUACUUGUUAUAAUCUGUCAUCAGAUCCUUACAUUCAGUUUCGGUAUAAAAAACUAAGAAUAUAAAUUUCAGUGUUUAUAUAUACAUAAGUUGACGCUAACAUUGACUGUUUUGUUCUAAACAGAUUUAAACACCAAUAUCUUAGAUUAUAUUUACUUUUAUUUAUUGUGGCAUAUAUAUAUAUAUAUAUAUAUAUAUAUAUAUAUAUAUAUAUAUAUAUAUAUAUAUAUAUAUAUAUAUAUAUAUAUAUAUAUAUAUAUACAUAAUGAUGUGUGUAUAUCCCAUGUAUGACUUGCAACACGAGGUGCGCUGGUGUAGGUAGUGGGCAACCAGCCGGCCAGCGUCAGCAGUGUGGGUGUGCUGGCAGGCGUGACAACACGUGCGCUAAUAUACUCUGUUAUCCUAUCAAUGUAUGGUCUCCGCAAACACAUGCCUGCCGUUGAUAACCCAAUAUGGUAUAAUGCUGCUACUAACCAGUUAAUAUACAAAUGGCAUUACAUUGAUUCUACAUUCAGCCUUUUUGCUUGCACUUUGUAAAAUGUUUUGAAUUUCACAGUUUGUACUAUAUUAUCUGUAAAUAAUACGUCAUCGAAUAAAUUUUUGAUAAUUUACCACGAAGAAA